rnacentral:rRNA from 1 species
UACGUAGGGGGCAAGCGUUGUCCGGAAUCAUUGGGCGUAAAGCGCGUGUAGGCGGUUCGGUAAGUCGGCUGUGAAAGUCGGGGGCUCAACCCUCGAAUGCCGGUGGAUACUGUCGGGCUAGAGUGCGGAAGAGGCGAGUGGAAUUCCUGGUGUAGCGGUGAAAUGCGCAGAUAUCAGGAGGAACACCUAUUGCGAAGGCAGCUCGCUGGGACGUUACUGACGCUGAGACGCGAAAGCGUGGGGAGCAAACAGG